rnacentral:rRNA from 1 species
AACGAACGCUGGCGGCAUGCCUAACACAUGCAAGUCGAACGAACCCUUCGGGGUUAGUGGCGCACGGGUGCGUAACGCGUGGGAAUCUGCCCUUUGCUUCGGAAUAACAGUUAGAAAUGACUGCUAAUACCGGAUGAUGUCUUCGGACCAAAGAUUUAUCGGCAAAGGAUGAGCCCGCGUAGGAUUAGGUAGUUGGUGGGGUAAAGGCCUACCAAGCCGAUGAUCCUUAGCUGGUCUGAGAGGAUGAUCAGCCACACUGGGACUGAGACACGGCCCAAACUCCUACGGGAGCCAGCAGUGGGGAAUAUUGGACAAUGGGCGCAAGCCUGAUCCAGCCAUGCCGCGUGAGUGAUGAAGGCCUUAGGGUUGUAAAGCUCUUUCACCGGGGAAGAUAAUGACGGUAUCCGGAGAAGAAGCCCCGGCUAACUUCGUGCCAGCAGCCGCCGUAACAC